rnacentral:lncRNA from 1 species
CACUAUCACACUUGUACUCAAAAAAUCUUUCCACCAUCUUUGUAAAUUCAAAGGCAUCAUUGUAAAUUUAAAGACUUCGUAAUUAAAGUAAGUUCUUUUCAUAUCCUCUCUUGUUUAUGAUUUUCGUUUACUUUAGUUAUUUUUCGGGCAAGGCCUAAAAUGGGAAGCACCAAGUAAGCAAUUAAUUUAUUCACAAAUAAUAUUUUAUUUUUACUUCAAAAAUAUAUUUUUAACGCUCUUAACCUCUUCAUUCUAGAUUCCAUGGUCAAAAGAUAAAGUAAUCCUCCGAGUUAAGUUAGCUAAUUUGUAUCCCAAUUGUGAAAAUUUGUUAAAGCCUUUUUAAAUAUGAUGAAAAUCUUUUUUGCUACGAUCUUAAACCUUCUUUAAAAGGUCAAGAAAAAAGUUAAGAGAGAGUUAAAAAAAAAGGGGUCUGAAGAAAUUAAUUUAUUGAACGGUAAAGUACUCAAAAGUCAUUACAAACAUAUCAGUUUUAAGUUCUAAUAUUUUAUAUCUUUAGAUUACACUGCCUUACUUAAUUGUUUAUUAUAAAGUUUUAACAAAUAUAUUAAUACUUGUUUAGAGAACAGAGAAAUAGGAAGAUUUGUCAUUGUAAGAAGUCAUAUUUUAUCCGUUCUAGAUAGAAAUACAGAUGACCCCUCUUUACAGAUCAAGAAGCAAAUUACUGAGCUCUCUAUCUCUCAGUGUCGUAGUUUCUUGAUAGAAAAUCCUAAAGAUUGUAAAGAAAGACAACAACGAGCAAAGAUUGUAGGAGAAAAAAAAAAUUUCAAGCAGAACUAGUUAGACAUUUUUAGCAAAGAACUUUAGUAGCAAAGAAAAGACAUUGUCUUCGAAAUUAAUUGCUAGUAAUUUUUUCUUGAAUUUGGUAUAUUUGAAAUGUGUUUAAAUUUUUGAAAAAUCUUUAAUAUUUGAUAGACUUUUUCUUGAAUCUUUAAUAUUUAGUAGACUUUUUUCUUGAAACGAAUUUAUUACGAAGACUUUGCGCAAAGACUCUUUGUUACAAAGAUUUUGAAUUUUUACUAGAAAGAGUUUGUCUACAAAAUUGGUAUCUACGUAGAAAAUAUUUUAGUUGUUAUUUUCCUAGAAGAAAUUUUUCUUAGUUGUCAUUUUCGUACAAGAUUUUAGUUAGAAAAUAUUUUAACUGUCAUUUAAACCAAAAUUGGUCAAUUUACGUAGAAAAUUUUCUUAUUUGUCAUUUUCAGAGUUUUUUCAUUUUCUUUCUUUGACAUACACUAUUUGCUACAAGAAUUUUUUAGCAAAUAAUUUAUUACAAAGACCACUUUCAAAGAAAAAGUCUUGCUCCUAAAUUAGUAUCUCGAAAUAUAUAUAUAUAUAUAUAUAUAUAUAUAUAUAUAUAUAUAUAUAUAUAUAUAAAAUUUAAUUUUUAGUUUAUUAAUGUAAGGAAAAUGCAAAGUGCCAUUUUGUCCUUUUUAAUUUGGUUAAAUUUGAUCAAAUUGUGACAUUUUUGGUCAAUGAAAUGGAUGGUUUCCUUCCCUUUAGAUCCUAGUUGCAAAUUUUUAAAAGAUUUGAGACUAUGACUGGCACAAAGUGAAUGUCAGGAUAAAUUUUAUAAAAAGUAAAAGAUUAGGGACUUACGUUGCAUGUAUCCCUAAAAUAUAUGGUGGAAAUGGACUUGAAAAAAAAAUUAAAAUUCUCUCCAGUAUAAACUUCAAAGUACAUCACGACAAGUAUCCUUGUUUGAGUCACAUUAUUUCUUAAUUCAUUUUUUUCAAUCAUACGUUCCUCCAAUAAUAUAAUAUAAUUUACACAUAAAUCAAAAAUUUCUUUUUAUUUUUAACCACACAUUCUUUUGAAAAUCACUAUUACAAAUUUUUUUUUUCGUCGAAAUGGGGUUCAAACAAAAGCGUAGUUUUAAAGCAUAAAGUUCAAAAAAGGCAAAAUAAAAUCUCAAGCUAGAUGCCACGUCCACGUUCACGCCCACGCCCACUGACUAGUAACUAUUGCUUAGAGUACUAAAAAAGGCGUACAAAUUGUGGUUUAACAACGGUUGAAAAUGACCCGUCCUCAUAUCUAAUCAACGAAUCUCGUGCAUUGUCUUUUACUACUAUAAUGUUGCGUUAGAUUUACAUUUAGCAUUGUUCAUAAAUAUUAUUUUGUAUUUUGAUCCAAAAGCAUAAUACACCUUCUGCCAAUUCUGCAGCAAGCUUUUCAAACUAUGCACUUCUGAAGAGGCUUAAUCCAGCAUAUUUUGCUCUUGUGGAAGUGAAAUUUCAGGUAAUCUUUAAUAGUAGUAUUACUGAGCUGCACUGGCGGUAAUUAAGAGGAAUUCACUCCAGAUUUUUGUCUUUUUGUUUUUAGCUUUAAUU